rnacentral:rRNA from 1 species
GUGCCAGCCGCCGCGGUACUACGGAGGGUGCGAGCGUUAAUCGGAAUUACUGGGCGUAAAGCGCGCGUAGGCGGUUUGUUAAGUCGGAUGUGAAAGCCCCGGGCUCAACCUGGGAAUUGCAUUCGAUACUGGCCGACUAGAGUACGGGAGAGGGAGGUAGAAUUCCACGUGUAGCGGUGAAAUGCGUAGAUAUGUGGAGGAAUACCGGUGGCGAAGGCGGCCUCCUGGCUCGAUACUGACGCUGAGGUGCGAAAGCGUGGGUAGCAAACAGGAUUAGAAACCCGGGUAGUCC